rnacentral:rRNA from 1 species
UACGUAGGGGGCAAGCGUUGUCCGGAAUCAUUGGGCGUAAAGAGCGCGUAGGCGGCCCAGUAAGUCCGCUCUGAAAGUCAGGGGCUCAACCCCUGGAUGCGGGUGGAGUACUGCUGGGCUAGAGUCCGGAAGAGGUGAGUGGAAUUCCUGGUGUAGCGGUGAAAUGCGUAGAUAUCUGGAGGAACACCGGUGGCGAAGGCGGCGUUCUGGACUGCAACUGACACUGAUGAACGAAAGCCAGGGGAGCAAACGGG